UGCAGUCGAGGGGUAACAGGAGUAGCUUGCUACUUGCUGACGACCGGCGCACGGGUGCGUAACGCGUAUAGAAUCUACCUUGUACUAGGGGAUAGCCUUUGGAAACGAAGAUUAAUACCCUAUAGUAAGUAUUUAUGGCAUCAUUUAUACUUUAAAGGUUACGGUACAAGAUGACUAUGCGUCCUAUUAGUUUGUUGGUGAGGUAACGGCUCACCAAGACUUCGAUAGGUAGGGGCCCUGAGAGGGGGAUCCCCCACACUGGUACUGAGACACGGACCAGACUCCUACGGGAGGCAGCAGUGAGGAAUAUUGGACAAUGGAGGCAACUCUGAUCCAGCCAUGCCGCGUGCAGGAUGACGGCCCUAUGGGUUGUAAACUGCUUUUAUGUAGGAAGAAACACUCUCACGUGCGAGAGCUUGACGGUACUACAAGAAUAAGGACCGGCUAACUCCGUGCCAGCAGCCGCGGUAAUACGGAGGGUCCAAGCGUUAUCCGGAAUCAUUGGGUUUAAAGGGUCCGUAGGCGGGCUAUUAAGUCAGAGGUGAAAGUUUGCAGCUCAACUGUAAAAUUGCCUUUGAAACUGGUAGUCUUGAAUUAUUAUGAAGUG
rnacentral:rRNA from 1 species